ACAGCAGUAGCCGCGGUAACACGUAGGGUGCGAGCGUUAAUCGGAAUUACUGGGCGUAAAGCGUGCGCAGGCGGUUGUGUAAGACAGGUGUGAAAUCCCCGGGCUUAACCUGGGAACUGCGCUUGUGACUGCACAGCUAGAGUAUGGCAGAGGGGGGUGGAAUUCCACGUGUAGCAGUGAAAUGCGUAGAGAUGUGGAGGAACACCGAUGGCGAAGGCAGCCCCCUGGGACAACACUGACGCUGAGGCACGAAAGCGUGGGGAGCAAACAGGAUUAGAUACCCGUGUAGUCCCUGUCUCUUAUAA
rnacentral:rRNA from 1 species